UCAUGUUCUGGAUGCUGUCUUGA
rnacentral:piRNA from 1 species